rnacentral:rRNA from 1 species
UACGUAGGUGGCAAGCGUUGUCCGGAUUUAUUGGGUUUAAAGGGUGCGUAGGCGGCUUAUUAAGUCAGUGGUGAAAUACUCUAGCUCAACUAGAGGGGUGCCAUUGAUACUGGUGAGCUUGAGUACAGAUGAGGUAGGCGGAAUUGACGGUGUAGCGGUGAAAUGCUUAGAUAUCGUCAAGAACACCUAUAGCGAAGGCAGCUUACUAGGCUGUAACUGACGCUGAGGCACGAAAGCGUGGGGAUCAAACAGG